GGGAGGGGGGGGACCGGAAGAGCGCCGAGGCCGAGGCGCUUCCUUGUGGGCUAGGGCUAAAGUUCUCGUGCCUUUGAGAAAGGCAGAGAAUUGUCUCCUACCGAAUGACUCACAGUUUAAAGACUUGCGUGGAAUUUAAACUGGACGCAAAAGAACACAUCCCCCUCCAAAUAUAUAUGUAAUUUUUUUUCUUUUCAUAUUUUGACUCACCCUCCUCAGCCCCCGUGUGUACUGGGAAGCUGGAUGUUAAACUAGUGGGAAGGGAGCGGGGACGGCGGCGGAAUGAGAAGGAGCGUCACUAAGCACCCCAGAUCUCACCAGUUUUAGCAAGCGUCGAGGUGGCCGGCUUGAGGAACAGGGAGACCGGGACCUGACGGCGGCCCCACCCCUUUGUCCUGGCGGCGUUGGAGCGAGGCUGCUGCUGAGCCCGCUCUGGGUCACCCGGCCGCGCCCACCGCCUUGAGGCCUCGGGGCACCCACGGCCUGGGCCCCCAGCUGUGCACUCGGUGGGUGACAAGCGCGUCUGCCUCGAGUCACGUCCCCGGCCGGGUGGCAGAGGACGGACCUGCCUCUCAAUGGGCCCUUCUGUGAGCUGGCUGGGCGCUGUUCCCGAGGAGGAAAUGCGAGGCUGGGAAUUUCAAAAUCGAACUCGGGAUCACAUGCUUGAGCGUCCAGUGCUUUAUACACUGUGCCAUCUCCUGGACUGCAGCCUCACAUAUUCUAAAUUCCACUUUUCCUUGGAAUUUACUGUUCUCCCAGAGGAAGAGACAUCACUGCUCGGGAACUUCUACCCCACCCCUUUCCAUGUUAGCCCCCCAGGGCUUCAACCUUGGCCUGGGCCUUGACCUUGCACAUGACAAGGUGCAGCCCCUGCAAGGCACAGCCCUACCAGGUGACAUUACACUGUCCAUAUGAAAUUAUGCCCCUGAAAUCUUAUAAUUUUGUAAGAAAAAAGAAGAAGAAGAAAAAGGAGAAGGAGAAGGAGAAGAAGAAGAAGAGGAGGAAGAGGAGGAGGAGGAAGAGGAGGAGGAGGAAGAGGAGGAGGAGGUGGAAGAGGAAAGAGAAGGAGAAGGAGAAGAAAUAAGUUUCUAGGAGUUUUAGGAAGCCAUGGUGAAAAUAUGGGCCAAAAGUGAAACCAAGACUCCAAAAGAACCAUGUGGCCAGACAUGACCCUGGGGGAUGGGAGUGUGGAGGUAAACUGAAAGUGUUAAACUAGAUUGAAUUUAACUUUCAGUGCUCAUCCAGAAGCUAAUAUACUAGAACUUAUUUUUAUAUUUUGCUUAUUUUAUUGGAUAGGACAGAGAAAUUGUGGGGGGUGGAUAGAGAAUGAGAGAGAGGCUGGGUGGUGGCACACCUGGUUGAGCACAUGCUACAAUGCACAGGGACUUGGGUUCGAGCCCCCAGUCUCCGCAGGGAGAAAGCUUUGCAAGUAGUGAAGCAGUGUUGCAGGUGUCUCUCUGUCUCUAUCCCUCCUUACCACCCCUUCCCUUUCAAUUUUUGACUGUCUAUAUCCAAUAAAUAAAGAUAAUUAAAAAAUAAAUAUUUAAGGCAGAGGCAGAUAGCAUAAUGGUUAUGCAAAGAGACUCUCAUGCCUGAGGCUCCAAAGUCCCAGAUUCAGUCUCACGCAACUCCAUAAGCUGAGGUUGAGCAGUGCUCUGGUAAAAUUAAUCAAUUAAUUAAUUUUUUAAAAUAAAUAUUUAAAAAGUAUUAUCUUUAUUUAUUGGCUAGAGACAGUUAGGAAUGGAGAGGGGAGGGGGAGAUAGGAAGAAAGACAGAGUGUCAUUUGCAGCCCUGCUUCACUACUCAUGAAGCCUUCCCCUGCAGGUGGGGGGGACCAAGGGCUUGAACCUGGUUCCUUCUGCCUUAUAAUAUGUGCACUCAACCAGGUGCAUUACUACCUGGCUCUUAAAAUAAAUAUUUUUUAAGAAGAGAGAAUGAGAGCGACAGAGAGACAGCCCUGCUUUACCACUGCAAAGCUGCCCCUGUGAGGGUGGGGAGCAGGGGCUCAAGCCUUGUUCCUAGUGCAUUGUAAUGUGUACACACAUCUUGAUUUGCCAACACCCAGCCCCUAGAACUCAAUUUAGAGAAUAAUUAGAGAGACCAGGCAGUGGCACACCUGGUUGAGUGCACAUGUUACUAUGCGCAAGGACCUGGGUUUGAGCCUCUGGUCCCCAUCUGCAUGGGGAAAGCUUUGCAAGUGGUAAAGCAGGGCUGGAUGUGUCUAUCCAAUUCAAUAAGGAUAAUGAUAAAAAAAAAAGAUUCAUUAAAAAGAGAGAGAGAGUAAAAAAAAA